CCAAAGGCCCUCUUUAGGGCCACCAAAUAUUUAUUUUUGUUUCUAU
rfam:Parastrongyloides trichosuri strain KNP genome assembly, scaffold: PTRK_scaffold0000011